GUGGGGUGGAAAGUUUUUUCGGUUUGGGAUGGACUCUCGGCCUAUCAGCUUGGUGGUGAGGUAAUGGCUCGCCAAGGCGUCGACGGGUAGCCGGACUGAGACGGUGACCGGCCACACUGGGACUGAGACACGGCCCCUACUCCUACCGGAGGAGGGAAAGGGUAAUAUUGCACAAUGGGCCCAAGCCUGAUGCACCAACGCCGCGAGCAGGAUCACCGCCUUCGGGUUGUAAACCGCUUUUAAUAAAGAAGAAGGGGAGCUUGCUCCUUGACGGUACUUGCAGAAGAAGCACCGGCUAACUACGUGCCAGCAGCCGCGGUAAUACGUAGGGUCCGAGCGUUGUCCGGAAUUAUUGGGCGUAAAGAGCUCGUAGGCGGUUUGUCGCGUCUGCUGUGAAAUCCCGAGGCUCAACCUCGGGUCUGCAGUGGAUACGGGCAGACUGGAGUGCGGUAGGGGAGAAUGGAAUUCCUGGUGUAGCGGUGGAAUGCGCAGAUAUCAGGAGGAACACCGAUGGCGAAGGCAGUUCUCUGGGCCGUAACUGACGCUGAGGAGCGAAAGCGUGGGGAGCGAACAGGAUUAGAUACCCUGGUAGUCCACGCCGUAAACGUUGGGCGCUAUAUGUGGGGACCUUUCCACGGUUUCCGUGUCGUAGCUAACGCAUUAAGCGCCCCGCCUGGGGAGUACGGCCGCAAGGCUAAAACUCAAAGGAAUUGACGGGGGCCCGCACAAGCGGCGGAGCAUGCGGAUUAAUUCGAUGCAACGCGAAGAACCUUACCAAGGCUUGACAUAUACCAGAACGCUGCAGAAAUGUAGAACUCUUUGGACACUCGUAUACAGGUGGUGCAUGGUUGUCGUCAGCUCGUGUCGUGAGAUGUUGGGUUAAGUCCCGCAACGAGCGCAACCCUCGUCGCAUGUUGCCAGCACGUCAUGGUGGGAACUCAUGUGAGACUGCCGGGGUCAACUCGGAGGAAGGGGGGGAUGACGUCAAAUCAUCAUGCCCCUUAUGUCUUGGGCUUCACGCAUGCUACAAUGGCCGGUACAAAGGGCUGCGAUGUCGUAAGGCGGAGCGAAUCCCAAAAAGCCGGUCUCAGUUCGGAUUGAGGUCUGCAACUCGACCUCAUGAAGUCGGAGUCGCUAGUAAUCGCAGAUCAGCAACGCUGCGGUGAAUACGUUCCCGGGCCUUGUACACACCGCCCGUCCAGUCAUGAAAGUCGGUAACACCCGAACCCGGUGGCCUAACCCUUGUGGAGGGAGCCGUCGA
rnacentral:rRNA from 1 species